rnacentral:misc_RNA from 1 species
UUUAUGUUUACUGCUUGGCGUCGGAGCGUGCGUAAAAGAAACGAUCCGCACAUUGGCAGUAGUAGUUUAGGUUCGAGUCUGGCCUCUUGCACGGUGCUCAACGCGCCACAACAUUCAAACUCGUUUUUAUUUUAAGGUUCGACACGGUUUUAAAAAAAGUUAUAAAAAUACAAAAGAAAAAAGUUUAAAAUCCGGCCGUGUUUAUCGAUUUUUUACCUUACAGGCCAGUGAUUUUUCCCCCCUCGUAUACACCCCGGCCGGAUAAUCGGAACAGUUAUGUAAAUUAUCUCAGUUUAUUUAACAAAAAAAGAGAAAAAUCGAGUUUUAAAUAGCGAAAAUGCCAACGAUCGAAACAGUCGGGAGCGAGAAGGAUGCGGACAAAGCACCAGUUGUCAACGGGACCGAGACUCUUCCCAGGCCGAGUGGAAAGUCCGAUCCUGGGACGAGCUUUUUAAGAGCUGCGAGGGCAGGGCAGCUGGACAAAGUCCUUCAACUAGUGGAGCAGGGUGUAGACAUUAAUACAUGCAAUGCGAAUGAUCUGAAUGCGCUUCAUUUGGCUGCUAAAGACGGACAUGUAGAGAUAGUUCAGGAACUUUUGAACAGAGGAUGUGUCGUAGAUGCUGCAACCAAGAAGGGCAACACCGCUCUUCACAUAGCUGCCCUUGCCGGCCAGGAAGAAGUUGCAAGGCUGUUGGUUGACAAAGGAGCUAACAUAAAUGUACAAUCACUUAAUGGUUUCACUCCUUUGUACAUGGCUGCCCAGGAGAACCACGACGCUGUUGUUAAAUUCCUUCUCAACAAAGGAGCAAAUCAAGGCCUAGCGACUGAGGAUGGGUUUACCCCAUUGGCAGUCGCUAUGCAGCAAGGACACGACAAAGUUGUCACCGUUCUACUUGAGAAUGACACAAGAGGGAAAGUCAGACUGCCCGCUUUACACAUUGCGGCCAAAAAAGAUGACUGUAAAGCCGCAACGCUACUUUUACAGAAUGACCAUAAUCCUGAUGUGACGUCUAAAAGUGGAUUUACACCUUUGCACAUUGCUGCGCAUUACGGAAAUGAAAACAUCGCAACACUUCUCCACCAAAAAGGCGCUGACAUUAAUUUUGCUGCUAAACAUAACAUUACUCCACUUCAUGUUGCUUGUAAAUGGGGAAAGAUGGCAAUGGUUUCAUUACUUCUUGACAAAGGAGCCAAUAUUGAAGCUAAAACACGAGACGGCUUGACGCCGCUUCACUGCGCCGCUCGUUCAGGCCAUGAUCAAGUGGUCGAUCUUCUAAUAGAAAAUCGCGCACCGUUAGCAUCUAAAACGAAGAAUGGACUAUCGGCGCUGCACAUGGCCUCACAAGGGGAUCAUGUCGAUGCCGCGAGGAUAUUACUUUACCACGGCGCUCCUGUAGAUGACAUUACAGUCGAUUAUUUGACUGCGCUUCAUGUCGCGGCGCAUUGCGGUCAUGUCGCUGUGGCCAGGCUACUUUUGGACAGAAAAGCAGACCCGAAUGCCAGAGCUUUAAAUGGCUUUACUCCUCUUCAUAUCGCAUGCAAGAAAAAUAGAAUCAAGGUGGUGGAGUUACUUUUGAAAUACGGUGCUUCCAUUGAAUCAACAACUGAGUCUGGGUUAACACCACUUCAUGUAAGCUGUUUUAUGGGCUGCAUGACAAUCGCAUUGUGCCUUCUUCAGAAGGGUGCAUCGCCGGAUGCGGCCACUGUGCGAGGUGAGACACCGUUGCAUUUGGCCGCACGGGCCAAUCAGUGCGACAUCGUCAGAGUACUGCUGAGGCACAAUGCCACCGUCGAUGCCAAAGCGAGAGAGGAACAGACGCCUCUACACGUCGCAAGCAGGCUGGGCAAUGCCGACAUCGCCAUGCUUCUUUUACAACACGGCGCUUCGCCUCAUAGCAUGACUAGAGAUCUGUACACACCGUUACAUAUCGCUGCUAAAGAAGGACAAGAAGAGGUGGCUUCUGUCCUCCUGGAAAACGGCGCAUCGUUGUCAGCGACGACGAAGAAGGGCUUCACUCCGUUGCAUCUGGCCGCCAAAUAUGGAAAUAUGAAAGUCGCAAAACAAUUGUUGCAGCGUGAUGCUCCUGUAGAUGCUCAGGGAAAGAAUGGAGUUACUCCUCUCCAUGUUGCAAGCCAUUACGACAACCAGAACGUCGCACUUCUCCUCUUGGAGAAAGGCGCUUCGCCGCAUGCUACCGCUAAAAAUGGUCACACGCCUUUACAUAUUGCAGCUAAGAAAAAUCAGCUUGACAUUGCAACCACUCUACUUGAAUACGGUGCUAAGGCAAACGCAGAGUCAAAAGCCGGUUUUACACCCCUCCAUCUUGCUGCUCAAGAAGGAUACACGGACAUCGCUUCUUUACUUAUUGAGCAUAAAGCAGACGUUAAUCAUCAUUCAAAGAAUGGUCUAACUCCGAUGCAUCUAUGUGCUCAAGAAGACAAAGUGAAGGUUGCCGAAAUAUUGAGAAAGAACAAUGCUUCCAUCGAUUCGGUUACAAAGGCUGGUUAUACCCCUCUGCAUAUUGCAUGCCAUUUUGGUCAACCUGCGAUGGUACGUUGGCUUCUUGAGCAAGGGGCUAAUGUUGAAAGUGCUACCAAUCUCGGCUAUACUCCUCUGCACCAGGCAGCACAGCAGGGGCACUGUUUAGUCAUUACGCUCUUGCUUCGUGCCCGAGCCAAACCAGACGUCAUGACAAACCAAGGGCUGACAGCUCUGGCAAUAGCAAACAAGCUUGGCUACAUAACAGUAGUGGAGACUUUAAAAGUUGUGACAGAACCUACCGCUCCGACGACUACAACGACUCUCGAAGAGAAAUACAGGGUCGUCGCUCCAGAAUCAAUGCAGGAAACUUUUAUGUCCGAUUCGGAAGACGACGGAGGUGGGGAUGAUAUGAUUGCUGUUGCGAUGAAUGACUAUGGCAAACCAACACAUGCUCAGCAUGUCUACCUUCCCUACUACCAAGGUCAAAUGUUAUACACUCGUGAAGAUCCGUUGUUGAGCGACCAGCAGCAGUAUCGUUACAUGACAGUAGACGACAUGAAAUCUCUAGGCGACGAUUCGGUUAAAAUCGACGUUACGAAAGACGAGCACGAUUUCUCUCGCGACUCUUUACUCGGCCAUCACGGCGAUUUGGUGCACAAGAAGGAUCAGUACAAUCCUGCAAACAGCCAGCCGGACAAUGUGGACAUUGUUCAGAUCCCCGUUCAUGCCGGGUUACGUAGCCUGCAUCAGUCGUUACGAAGCCUUGGUCGUGGAAAGAAUGCUGGGAUGUGCAGAGACAGCAAAAGUCAAUGGACAAACUUUCUGGUGAGCUUCUUAGUAGAUGCAAGAGGAGGAGCUAUGAGAGGAUGCAGGAGGUCAGGUGUCAACGUAGUCGUACCUCCUCGGUGUGCUCCCGCACCGCUUCGUCUUACAUGUCGCUAUUUGAGAAACAGAAACAUUGCUCCUCCACUUUCCGAAGCGCAGUCUUUAGCAACACGAGUUUUGGAACUAUCGCCUGCAGGCACAAAAUUCCUAGGGCCUAUAAUUAUUGAAGUUCCACAUUUUGUAUCAUUGCGAGGGAAAGAAAGGGAGUUGGUCGUUAUGAGAAGUGAUAACGGUACGACAUGGAAAGAACAUUGUCUUGAAGAAAGCCAAAAUGCUGUACAACACAUUUUGAACUCAAGUUUUGAAGGAGGAGAUGAUUUUGAUGAAGCACAUACUCAUAGAAUAACAAGGAUUGUGACUACCGAGUUGCCUCAGUAUUUGGCGGUUGUGUCCCGACUGAGGCAAGAAGUCCACGUCAUCGGGCCCGAAGGCGGGGUCGUGUCGUCAACCGCCGUUCCGCAAGUCCAGGCGAUUUUCCCUCCGAACGCUCUCACCAAGAAAAUUCGCGUCGGCCUUCAAGCGCAGCCGAUCAGCAGUGAGCUCGUCACCCGGCUCUUGGGGAACCGAGUCGGAAUUUCUCCUAUCGUCACAGUCGAGCCUAGAAGGAGGAAAUUUCACAAGCCGAUCACGCUAACUCUACCCGUACCGACAGCGGCGAAUAAAGGGAUGAUUAAUCAGUACAACGGUGAAGCUCCGACCCUCCGCUUAUUAUGCAGCAUUACUGGAGGCAACGCGAAGGCUCAAUGGGAAGAUGUUACUGGAUCAACACCGCUUACAUUCGUCAAAGAUUGCGUAUCAUUUACGACCACAGUUUCAGCGAGGUUUUGGUUGAUGGACUGUAGAAAUGUAAGCAACGCCACAAACAUGGCCUCUCAGCUUUACAACGAAGCGAGCCACGUUCCUUUUAUGGCCAAGUUUGUCGUUUAUGCUAAACGAGUCGACCCGCUUGUUGCUAGGCUGAGGAUUUUCGUAAUGACAGAUGACAGGGAGGAAAAAACUCUCGAACACCAGGAAAACUUUACAGAAGUCGCAAAAAGUCGUGAUGUGGAGGUUCUCGAAGGGAAAAACAUUUAUCUCGAGUUUGCCGGGAACUUGAUCCCUGUGACAAAAUCUGGUGAGCAGUUGAGCGUGAAUUUCGCUGCUUUCAGAGAAAACCGGCUUCCGUUCACUGUCCGUUUGAGAGAUGUCGACGACAAACCAGUCGCCAGACUUCUAUUUAUGUCUCAACCCAAGCUCGCACGAGGAGAACCGUUGCAGUCCGCAGUUUGCACCUUAAACAUCGCCCUUCCAGAAAAUAUUGAAAAAGACGGAACACCGUACGGAAGUGAUCUCUAUCUUAGCGAUAGGUCGUAUUCUCUUCCGAGAAAUGCUACACCUGAAACGAUGGUAAGAGGCAACAUGGUCUUAUCAGACCUAUGCCAGGUUCUCGGACACGAUUGGGAACCUCUAGCCCUCAAAUUAGGAAUAAGCGAUCAAGAUAUCGACAUAAUAAAACAAGAAGUUCACACUUCGCCUGAAAGGACGAGUUUAGCCAUCAAACUGUGGAGGACCAACUUAGGACCGCAAGCAACAGGUAAUAAGCUGGAAAAAGCCCUGCGAGAUAUCGGACGUGAAGAUGUUAUUGAAAAAUGCGUACGGGACAUGGAAGUAGUUACGGACGAUAUUGAGAAGGCUGUAGCGAACGUGACGCUGGAUCAAUCUGGAUUUGACACAACUGGCAAGGACAGCUUGUUGCUCGAUAGCUUCCAUCAAAAUCAGGAAUCUGGAUAUUUGGAGGAGAUGAGCAAUUCGAGCACAUUAGGAAACAUCAAUUCAGAGCCUUUUGACAAAUACGCCGGAGAGGAGAAACAGAUAACGGCCAAUUUUAUCGCCAACGAGGUCCAAAUGGCUAGCAUGUUGGACAACGCAUCCAACGGAUGGGCUUCAAAACCGAAAGAAACUGAAGUCAUUAGAAGAGAGUGGAAGGAAGAAAACAUGUGGCAGUCCCCUUCUCUUGACGGUAUACACGACGGAGGCCCAUUAAGCAGUGACAGUGAGGAGGGUGUCGUGGAGGAAGGGAAUAACACGACUAGAAGGAAGAACCGGAGGACGCUUGGGAGCUCGAGCGGUUCCGACAUUGCACUGCAUGAAGGCAAUGACCUUUCAGAUUCGGAUCCUGGUGAGCCUCCGAAAGUUACCCAGUUCUGAUUUGAUUCAGGAAUCGUUGUCGAACAUAGGAAGCCAGGCAGACGUACACAGGGUGCUGGCCUCCCCAUGAUAAUCUGCGAACGAAGACGACAUAAAACCUAACUAAGCAUAUUUUCAAGUUGUCAGCUUUUGCCGGCUGCAGAUAUUUCAAGCCCGGAU